UUGCUUCUUUGAAAACUUCCA
rnacentral:piRNA from 1 species